GGGUGAGUAACACGUGGAUAACCUACCUAUAAGACUGGGAUAACUUCGGGAAACCGGAGCUAAUACCGGAUAAUAUAUUGAACCGCAUGGUUCAAUAGUGAAAGACGGUUUUGCUGUCACUUAUAGAUGGAUCCGCGCCGCAUUAGCUAGUUGGUAAGGCAACGGCUUACCAAGGCAACGAUGCGUAGCCGACCUGAGAGGGUGAUCGGCCACACUGGAACUGAGACACGGUCCAG
rnacentral:rRNA from 1 species